rnacentral:misc_RNA from 1 species
UUCGCCACGUGUCUGCCAGAGCGCGUAGCGCAUGCCGCAUUCGCUGUCCGACUUGUUUGCGCGCCGCAUCGCGUUCAGCCGUCUGGUUCACCGCUGGUUGUCUUCAUCAUCGUCCGUAUAUCGUCCCUGUGUUCCGGAUACACGUACAGGGUCCGGCCGUCACGAGCACGUUCGUGAGCAACGUCGCGCAUCGCCAUGGACCAAAUCGGUCUGCUACUGCAGCAAUACGUGUACGCGAUCCCCGUGGGUAUCGUGCUGGUAUGCGCCAUUCUCGUCUUUGCCUUCGGCUUCAAGAAGGCUGAACAGCCGCCGUUUGCCCAGCUGUCCGCGGGCUCUGACGUGGACCGGAAGCUAACUAAGAAGCGCGGCAAGGUCCGCGAGAAGAAGGCUUCUAAUGGACAAGUCGCAUCUGAAAAAACAAGUCCAAUUAAAAAAACAUUAGCAACAAAAACAGAUGCUCCAAAGAAAGCUGCAAAAGGAGAUGAUGUCGAUGGCAAACUGAAAGAGCGCAAGCAUGAAGACAACAAGAUUGCAACUAAGAAAGAAAAGGAGCAGCCUCUAGUUAAGGCUGGAAAAGAAAAUAAAGUGGAGCAAGUGAAGAACAAGAAAAAUUUGAAAAAUCUAUUUCAGGAAAAACCAGUGGAUUUUGAUGAUGGAGACUGGGAGCAAGCUUAUUCACGCAAGGACAAGAAAAAUAAGAAGAAAGAAGAAGAAUCUCCUUUGAAGAAGAAUAAGAAAACCCCCAAAAAAGCUGAUUUAAUAAAUGAGGCUAAGCAGAAAGAACAGGAGACCCCUGAGAUCAAGGAUAAAACUGUUAAGGAAACCGAGAACAAGGAACUCAAGGAAAAAGAGAAGAAAGAAGUGAUCCUUACACCGAUCUCUAAUGAAGAAAUAAGUACAGCCAAGGAAUUGCAGAAAGAAGAGCAGAAUAAGGCCGAGAAAGUCGAGAAGGAAGAGAGGAAAGGUGGGAAGUCGAAGAAGAACAAGAAAGUGUCUGAGGAUGGGAACACACCCGCUUCACUACCAUCCACACCAAAGUCGGAUAAUAAGAAACCUGCUGCGGAAGAGCCGCAGAAAAAAGCAACUAGCGUAAAAAAGGCAGCUAGCGUAACCAAUAAUGAGGAAGAAAAUAAAGUCGUGGAGAAUAAAGAGAAAACUGCUGUGUUCGAUGAACUAGGAGACGUCUGGACAGAAGCAAAGCCACAGAAAAAAAGUAAGAAAAAAGCUCGUAAGGAUGACUGAGAAUGAUUGCAUAUAAUCCUGUUAUUCCUUUCGAGAAGGAAUAGAAUGAGUGAGAAACCCUUGGUUUAAAAGACGUUUGUCGCUUUUCAACAAAUCAGGUGGUGAAGAAAAUGAGAACGAUGGAAGUAAUAUUUUUUAUAAUUUUCACGACUGAAUUUUACAUCCUGUUGCAUCAAAUAUUUUGCAAAUUAUUCUCAGAUAUUUUCUGUCACGCGAACGUUUUGAAUAAUUGAAUUGCGUUAAGCGAGACGAUCAAAAUCAUUCGACCAUCAUUUGUGAACUCAGUCGUUCAUCUCUCAUGCCAUGUAGAAACGAUAAUAGACCAAUCUCUUAAUCACGCGUUAAAAGUGAUCCACGAAAGGACCUUUAUGUGUUGUACAUAUUUUAUUGGCAUUGCUGUCGGAGUAUGUUAUCAAUAUCCUCUAUCGCUAUUAGACAUUAAGCUCUACAACGCUAGCGCUGCACGAGUGUUACACAUUGGGAGAGUUAAUCGAGAUUUUACUUUUCUUUCAAAAUAUCUUAAUUUACAUUUUAUCAGAAAAUGAAAAAAAGAAAGAUAAUAUAUAUAUAUAUAUAUAUGUAUACAUAUAUAUAUAAAAGAUUAUACUCACGAGAGGGAUGAUUCGAUGUGAGCGAACAGAUUAUUCUAUCAUUGUUGUAGAACAGACGUUAUGACAACACUCAUUCUAAACGAUGAAUUAAGAGCUAUCUGUUAACGUGUAAAAUUAUUGUAUCGCUAAUUUUAAGGAGGAAGAGAGCGAGUGAGAGGGAGAGAAUGCGGUCACUUGAGAUGUAUGACAAUAUUGUGAUAAGAGUACUAUACCUGAGGAUUACUUGAGUGUUGCAGACUAACGCUGAAUCACUCGUAGUUUUUAUGUGUGAGUGGGAAUCUUGAAGAGAAGUAUCUUGUUCGUGUAUAGCCAUUCAUAUUUUGUAUACUGGACAUUGAUAUAUUCUCAUAAGUAUACAUGUACACACAUACGAAGAUCACCAUGUAUUAGAGAAAAAGACAAAACAUACACUCUUGCGGAAAGUGCGUUGCGGUGAUCAUCGUAAUGGAUUAUAAAAAGAAAGAAAAAGAAAGAAGUUAUUUAUAAAACACACAUAGAAUGAGCUUGAAUUAUAAAUCUACAAGCAAAGGAACUAUCUAUCGUUAAUCAAAUUGCUUGUAACGACUGUUUAUGUCCUGUGCCAAAAAAGGAUCUUUGCUUUUCGAUUACGUUCGAGGCUGAAUUUUCUUCUUAAUAAUUCGUGAGUAUCAAAGGAGAUUUUAGCUAUGCUAUAUUCGGGGACUACGUUUAGGUUUUUGACCGAAAGUCAUAAGACUGCGUGAAUUUUCUCUCACCAUCCUUUGUAGCUUUGUAAUCAUCAGAGAGUGUCAGUUCGUUGGCAGUUGGCGCCAAGCGAGCGACUAUCUCAGUAGCUAAUUGAGUAGCUAAUUUAAUUUACACGAUAGAGCCGAGUCUUUCUUCGAAACUUUUACAAGUUCAUUUUUCGAGCUUUCCCUGUGCAUUAGAAUUUGCAAAGAAUCGACGUGGCAAGUCGGGAUAUUACGAGCAGUAUCGAAUUAAAUUUUACGUAAAAUCGAGAGAGCUAUGGAAUAGCGACUUCAAUGAAACUGAUUGUUAUAUCGCGGCGUGUGCAUUAUUAUUUUAUUUGUAACAAAGUUAUAAAUUAUAUUAUACUUGAUGACGAAAUGAGCGCAAAAUUGAGACUUGUGGAAGUUCCUCAGUAGUGCACUAGUAAAGUUUCAGAGAUGAUUCAAGUUAUGCUCGUAAUGAUCCAACCAUUAGCUUAACGAGCUAGUUAGCGGCGUACUUAACACCCGCGCGAAAGGAAAACUGGAGCGUGGCUGGAGAAAUGGCUUUCGAAUCGCAUCGGCGAGGGAAGCACAAGAAAUUUAUUUUUCUAAGUACUGUUCUAAAAAUAGAGCAACAUCGCCUACGUUGCAUUCGCAAAAACGAAUCUAGCUGAAUUGGCAGAACACGCCGAAUGUGCACCACGUAUGUCGAAUUACCAUGCUUUGUAUAUAUUCGACGUGUAGUCGUAUCGGAUGUGAAACACUCUCGCUAUUGCGAGAUUCUUUCUAGAUUUACUCGAGCGGAGAGAGUACUUUCUCCGACGUUCUACGGCGAAGAUUCUGAAUGAGACUAAAUAGAGAUGAAAGAGGCGCUCUCUGGAGAAGACGAAUUGACUAUAAAAUCGAAGAAGUAUUAUAUCGCCACUGUACAUAUGUAUAUUAACGAGCAAUGUUCUUCUUACUAAAUGUAUAAUGUGCAAUGCUGCGUAUCCAGAACGGUUUCUGCGGCAGCUAAGAUCUAGCGAUCAGAUGUUUAGACAGAUAUUUUCGAAGGAUCGAUCAGCGUCCAACGAAUUACGCAUCUGUGUCUAUUUUGAAAAUGGUACAAGUCACAUUUUGCGGUGUUCAAUUCUGUAAGAGGAUUAUGUCGGAUUUGAUUUUUUCCAUUUUCAAAGUGAACGACGUGGCGUGCUGAACGUUAAUACAGCAUGUUCGAUUACAAAUCCAUAGAGUGCUGCAUAUUUUCCGAUGAAUGUGACGUAUCUCUCGGUCACAGUCCAUACGCCAACGUGCAACAUUUCGCGAAUCUCUCCGAUUCGUGCAUCGAAAUAACGAUAGCGCAAUUAUGAUGGCCUAUUUUGGACAUGCGAUUCGGUGUAGCUGCAAUUUUUACGGCUAUGCGGCACACACACACACACACACGAGGACUCUGAUCGCAUUCGAAAUAUCGACUGUUACGUAGAGAUAAGAUAAGAAGAAAACGAGAAAGAGCAAAUAAUCGCGAGGCAACUGUGUCGAAUAUACAUGUAUGACAUAGUCUAUGUAUAAUUUAUUUUAUUCACAAAGGGAUUGUUACGACCACGACAACGUGUGACAAAUUAUAAUAUUGAAAUUCACGAUGUGUGUAUAUAUAUAUAUAUAGAGGUGCUCUCAUAUAUAUAUAUGAAUUUGUGGAUAUGCAUAUAUAUAUAUACAUAUGUGGAUAUAUAUAUAUAUAUAUACACAUAGUCGUGUAAAUGUGCGUGUAUUUCGAUUAAUUUAAAUCUUAUUGUUAGCUUUUGUGAGCGUUAGCAUUAAGGCAAACCAAGAGAAUAUGAUAAACGAAACAUAUUCGAAAACCAAUGGGGAAGAUAUAAUAUUGACGAAAAAUAUUCUGUUUCCGCGUAUCACGUGAAUGAUUAUUGCGUAUGAAAUCAGAAUAUAUAUUAUCGAGAUAGAUUCUAUAUAUUUGUGAAAUGCAAAAGAGAUAUAUAAGAGAUACAUAAAUAUAUAUUUUCGCACUCUUGUCGCGCUCGCGGCGAACAGAACAUUUUUCGCGAAAAUAUGCUUUUCGGUUGUGAUAUUUAUGGAAAAAUGUACGAAUAGCUGAACGCAUCUUGGGACAAGGUAGAGAAAGACAGAAAGAGAGAGAGAAGAGAGACAAACUGAAUAAAAGUUAUAUUUUUCCAGCA